rnacentral:rRNA from 1 species
AGAGUUUGAUCCUGGCUCAGGACGAACGCUGGCGGCGCGCCUAACACAUGCAAGUCGAACGGAAUGCGGAGAGGAUUUAUCUUUUCUGUGUUUAGUGGCGAACGGGUGAGUAACGCGUGAGGAACCUGCCUCAAAGAGGGGGACAACAGUUGGAAACGACUGCUAAUACCGCAUAAGCCCACGGGGCCGCAUGGCCCUGAGGGAAAAGGAGCAAUCCGCUUUGAGAUGGCCUCGCGUCCGAUUAGCUGGUUGGUGAGGUAACGGCCCACCAAGGCGACGAUCGGUAGCCGGACUGAGAGGUUGAACGGCCACAUUGGGACUGAGACACGGCCCAGACUCCUACGGGAGGCAGCAGUGGGGAAUAUUGCACAAUGGGGGAAACCCUGAUGCAGCGACGCCGCGUGGAGGAAGAAGGUCUUCGGAUUGUAAACUCCUGUUGUUGGGGAAAAGAAGGAUGGUACCCAACAAGGAAGUGACGGCUAACUACGUGCCAGCAGCCGCGGUAAAACGUAGGUCACGAGCGUUGUCCGGAAUUACUGGGUGUAAAGGGAGCGCAGGCGGGUAUGCAAGUUGGGAGUGAAAUACAUGGGCUCAACCCAUGAACUGCUCUCAAAACUGUGUAUCUUGAGUAGUGCAGAGGUAGGCGGAAUUCCCGGUGUAGCGGUGGAAUGCGUAGAUAUCGGGAGGAACACCAGUGGCGAAGGCGGCCUACUGGGCACCAACUGACGCUGAGGCUCGAAAGUGUGGGUAGCAAACAGGAUUAGAUACCCUGGUAGUCCACACCGUAAACGAUGAUUACUAGGUGUUGGAGGAUAGACCCCUUCAGUGCCGCAGUUAACACAAUAAGUAAUCCACCUGGGGAGUACGACCGCAAGGUUGAAACUCAAAGGAAUUGACGGGGGCCCGCACAAGCAGUGGAGUAUGUGGUUUAAUUCGA